UACGGAGGGUGCAAACGUUGCUCGGAAUCAUUGGGCGUAAAGCGCACGUAGGCGGUCACGCACGUCCGUUGUGAAAUCGCUCGGCUCAACUGGGCGGGGUCAGCGGAUACGGCGUGGCUGGAGCAAGCUAGGGGGCAAUGGAAUUCCCGGUGUAGUGGUGGAAUGCGUAGAUAUCGGGAGGAACACCAGUGGCGAAGGCGGUUGCCUGGAGCUUUGCUGACGCUGAUGCGCGAAAGCGUGGGGAGCGAUCCGG
rnacentral:rRNA from 1 species